rnacentral:rRNA from 1 species
GACGGAGGGGGCUAGCGUUGUUCGGAAUUACUGGGCGUAAAGCGCGCGCGGGCGGUUAUUCAAGUCGGGGGUGAAAGCCCGAGGCUCAACCUCGGAACGGCCUUUGCGACUGCAUGACUAGAGACCGGGAGAGGAGAGUGGAAUUCCCAGUGUAGAGGUGAAAUUCGUAGAUAUUGGGAAGAACACCAGUGGCGAAGGCGGCUCUCUGGCCCGGAACUGACGCUGAGGCGCGAAAGCGUGGGGAGCAAACAGG